rnacentral:rRNA from 1 species
UACGUAGGGGGCAAGCGUUGUCCGGAUUUAUUGGGCGUAAAGAGCGUGUAGGCGGUUUGGUAGGUCCGCUGUGAAAACUCGAGGCUCAACCUCGAGACGCCGGUGGAAACCAUCAGACUAGAUUCCGGAAGAGGAGAGUGGAAUUCCUGGUGUAGCGGUGAAAUGCGCAGAUAUCAGGAAGAACACCCGUGGCUAAGGCGGCUCUCUAGUACGGUACUGACGCUGAGACGCGAAAGCCAGGGGAGCGAACGGG